rnacentral:rRNA from 1 species
UACGUAGGGGGCAAGCGUUGUCCGGAUUUAUUGGGCGUAAAGAGCGUGUAGGCGGCCAGGUAGGUGGGUUGUGAAAACUGGAGGCUCAACCUUCAGAGGUCGACCCAAACCCCCUGGCUAGAGUCCGGAAGAGGAGAGUGGAAUUCCUGGUGUAGCGGUGAAAUGCGCAGAUAUCAGGAAGAACACCAAUGGCGAAAGCAGCUCUCUGGGACGGUACUGACGCUGAGACGCGAAAGCGUGGGGAGCGAACAGG